UACGGAGGGGGCCAGCGUUGUUCGGAAUUAUUGGGCGUAAAGGGCGCGUAGGUGGCCAUGCAAGUCGGAGGUGAAAUCCCUCGGCUCAACUGAGGAACUGCCUCCGAUACUGCAUGGCUUGAGUCCCGGAGAGGGUGGUGGAAUUCCCAGUGUAGCGGUGAAAUGCGUAGAUAUCAGGAAGAACACCCGUGGCGAAAGCGGCUCUCUGGAACGGUACUGACGCUGAGACGCGAAAGCGUGGGGAGCGAACAGG
rnacentral:rRNA from 1 species